rnacentral:rRNA from 1 species
AGACGGAGGUGGCAAGCGUUGCUCGGAUUUAUUGGGUGUAAAGGGCUCGUAGGCGGUUCUGCAAGUCCCUCCUGAAAGGUGGUAGCUCAACUACCACAUGCGGGGGGAUACUGCAAGACUUGAGGGUGAGAGAGGCAAGCGGAAUUCCCGGUGUAAGGGUGAAAUCUGUAGAUAUCGGGAGGAACACCAGUGGCGAAGGCGGCUUGCUGGAUCAUUUCUGACGCUGAGGAGCGAAAGCUAGGGGAGCGAACAGGAUUAGAAACCCGAGUAGUCC